rnacentral:rRNA from 1 species
AUUGAACGCUGGCGGCAGGCUUAACACAUGCAAGUCGAACGAGUGGCGGACGGGUGAGUAAUGUCUGGGAAACUGCCCGAUGGAGGGGGAUAACUACUGGAAACUGUAGCUAAUACCGCAUACCAUCGGAUGUGCCCAGGUGGGAUUAGCUAGUAGGUGGGGUAAAGGCUCACCAAGGCGACGAUCCCUAGCUGGUCUGCGAGGAUGACCAGCCACACUGGAACUGGGACACGGACCAGACUGCUACGGGAGGCAGCAGUGGGGAAUAUUGCAAAAUGGGCUAAAGCCUGAUGCAGCCAUGCCGCGUGUAUGAAGGAGGCCUUCGGGUUGUAAAGUACUUUCAGCGAGGAGGCGUUACUCGCAGAAGAAGCACCGGCUAACUCCGUGCCAGCAGGCGCGGUAAUAC